AUUCGCAAGAUCCUCAAAAUAUCAUUGGUGAGUUGUUAGAAAUCGAUGGCAAUAUUGUUGUGGUUCGCGAUACAAACCAUUGCAGCAGUCAAGAUGCGGAAAACAAUGAGGACGAUUAUAUGUUAAGGGAGUUCUUAAAAGGAAUAAAUAUGGAGUCGCUUUUUGAACAAUUAAAAGGUAAGUAAAUAAAAAUGAAUUUUUCAGUUAAUCAGUGUAAUUAACAAAGAAUUUUCUUUUUUGUUCUUUUAGCAUCACAUGUAACAUUUCGCAGCUUGCAGUACUUGAAAAAAGAAGAUUUAAAGGAAGCAGUGCCACCAUUGGGACUGCGUGUUGAAUUCAGAGAAAAGCUCUUUGCUUGGAAAAAACGAAAGCUCGGGAUUGAUGACGAAACUAUGUCAGUUCCAUCUAAAAUAGGUGAAUGGUGGAAACGCAACGAGACACCUGCAAGUACUCCUGGUACUCCCGACACUACAGGUUCGAACUGCUCAAAAGCCAAAGGAAUUUUGUCAGAGGAUCUAACGGAAUUGUUAACACAUACCUCGAAGGGGAAACUAGCGCUUGAAUGUAGUAGCGUUAAUAAGAAAUUAAGUGACGAGCAAAGAGAUGAUAUAAUUAAUAUAAUUAUUGAAGAUAUUUUAACCAACAAUGUUACUCUUUACACUCAAGACUAUAUGCGCAUAUUGGAUGAAAUUUGUUCCGUUUUUCCUCUUGAAAACGAAAUGAGGGUAAGAUUAACAAUAUAAACAACGUAUCUGAUUAUGUAGUUUCUUAACUUAUAAUAUGUCUUUAUUUUUAGGAUUAUUAUUACAUUUCAAGAAAAGGAAAGAACAACGCAAGCGGAAAACUUUAUGCCAAGUAUAGAAACAAGAAGUCCAAAAGAAUAAAGCUUUUGAUUUCCGAGCCUAGCACAAGCAAAGCAGCAACUCACACAUCUCCUAAUUUUUGUAACAAAGAUGUUCCCGAAAUUGAUGAAUCAGUUGAAAAUUCAUUGAAAGCUUCCUUACUAAGAGAAUGUAAUGAUUGGGGAUCGAUCUGCGAAAAAUGGAAAAGAUCUUUUAACAUAACUUAGAACCAAAUGUUAUCAUUAAUACGCAUACCAUCGAAGAUUUGGCAAAAGAGGAAUAUUGUUACAAAAAAAGUAAGCCAGU